rnacentral:lncRNA from 1 species
AUGAAAUAAUUUAAAAUCAAGCAGCACUUGCUGAAAUUGCUUCACUAAAGCAAAAGAGUGAAGACAGCAGUGUUUAGUGAAAACGAGUGAAUGAUGAAGGAGAAGGUGAAAUAGGCUGGGGUGGAGCAUAGGGAUAGAGAGAGGAAUAUUGCUGAGCAACCAGGAGGAGACAGGACCAAGAGGAAAAAGGACAAGAAUUAAAAGGGAUGCACCCAAGACCAAUUGUUCAUCCCAUCCCUGUCAGCAAGUUUUCUUCAUGGCAAAAUACAUUUUGUGUUUGUGGAUCCAUUCUUUUUGUUCUGUUCUUGCAUAAAAAUCAAU